UAGUCGGCCGUCCAGCUCUGCUCCACAAUCUCGCGGACUUUGCGGUUGUACUCGCGCUUGUUCUCGCUGAACAGUCUGGCUGCUUCGGAGUUUGCAGGGGAGUUUGGGUUUGGAUCACAGAGCAGGGACUGGAUAGAGGUCAAUAUCGCAGCAACAUCAUAUAUAGGGCUCCAUUGAUUUUGUAGGAUAUCCAAGCAGAUACUUCCAUCUGCAUAUACUAUUUGGGUGAAACAUCCUUGAGACAAACCGAACAACUGGUGGUUUGUUGGGAUAAUCUUCUGUAAAUUGUAGUGUCAGCUUGAACGUGCCUAUGGUGGCUACGGCGCGUGGGUGGCUACCCGAAUAUGACGGCGUUCCAGAGCAUGAUGUUGUUGUCGUGCGGCGCGCCGCUGAUUCCGGCGGGCGGGUCCUGCUGCAGCCGCUUGAAGUCCCGCAUCAGCCGCUUCCUCGCCGGCGUCGACAUCUC
rnacentral:sRNA from 1 species